CAUACACUUGAAACCCUUUAGUAUUUGUGAUUUUAUUGCAACUUUUAAAUAAAUUUCACAAUAAAAUAAUGUUGCAUAUACCCGAAAUCUUAUUCCAAUCAAAAUCUUAAUGAGAAAAACUGUUAAAUUUUUGUUGAUUUCUGUGUUAUCUUGGCAACAAGAGAUAAAAAUGGGGACUGUUCACAAUAGUAUCUUGUUAGAAAUGGUUUAUCGUUGCGUACAGAUAUAAAAGUUAGAUUACUUUAUGUACCAUCCCUUUAAAAUUUCCUCGUAAACAAUGGUACACUUAUC